UACGUAGGCAGCAAGCGUUGUUCGGAGUUACUGGGCGUAAAGGGUGUGUAGGCGGUUCUUUUAAGUUUGGUGUGAAAUCUCCCGGCUCAACCGGGAGGGUGCGCCGAAUACUGAGGGACUAGAGUGUGGGAGAGGAAAGUGGAAUUCCCGGUGUAGCGGUGAAAUGCGUAGAUAUCAGGAGGAACACCGGUGGUGUAGACGGCUUUCUGGACCGUAACUGACGCUGAGACACGAAAGCGUGGGUAGCAAACAGG
rnacentral:rRNA from 1 species